AUGAGGUUAAGAGUAGAUUUAAAAUGCUCCACUGUCAUAGCUGUUGUUCUAAUAUGCAUUGUUUUUGUGUUUUCUAGGACAAAGCAAAGAACCUUGCCGUCCUACCUUGGGAAAGAGACACAAUGCACUCCACAGAAGGCAGCUGAAAUGAGCAAAAAGAUCUUGAGAGUGAUCGUCAAAGACAUGAGGCCUUUGUCUCUUGUUGAGGGUGAAGCCUUCAUAGACAUCAUUGAAUAUGCCUGCCCAGGCUUCAAAUGUCCCUCUAGGUCGUGGUUCACAAAGCAGUUGGAGAAGGCAUAUCAACAUGCUCUUGAAGAUCUGAAGAAAGACCUAAAGAAGAGGUCCUCAAAAAUCACACUCACCACAGAUGCCUGGACAAGUAUUGCCACAGAGGCAUACCUCGGAGUGACCUGCCACUACAUCAACGACAACUGGGAGAUGGUCUCAUUUGUUUUGUGCACAAAGCGCCUUGAGGACCGACACACUGCAGAAAAACAUUGCUCGCUGGAUUGAAGAGGUUGCCGAGAAGUUUGACUUCUCUCUCCUUGAUGAUGUCCUGGCGAUUGUCCACGAUAAUGCAGCUAAUGUGGUCAAAGCCCUUAGAAUCCUUGAAGAGAGGCAGGGCGUUGCCUCACUUCGAUGUGCUGGCCAUACCAUCCAGUUGAUCGUAAACCAUGCUCUGAAAGAGCCCCGCAUCAACAAGGCACUUGGGGCAGCAAGGAGCCUCGCCGGGUACUUCCAUAGCAGCGAUGUUGCCACCCUGAAUUUGAAACUCAAACAAGAGCAAAUGGGCACAGCUCAACACAAGUUGACCCAGGAUGUAGCUGUUAGAUAGUUCUUACUAUAUGAUCAAACGCCUCCUUGAGCAGUGGUGGCCUGUAACCGCAACCCUCUCCGACCCAGAGGUCACCAAUGCAGCAAAGCACUACCUGGAUAUGAAAUCUGACCAGUUGAGGCUCCUGGAGGAGCUACAGCAAGCACUUGAGCCCUUUGAGCAAGCCACCGUCUUCCUGAGUGGAGAAGCAUACGUCACAGUCUCUGUCCUGCCUCCGCUAGUGUAAGCCCUACAGAAGUCCACGCAGACAGUCUUUGAGUCCGCUUCCGUCACCACCUUCGAAACAGCAGCCGCAGCAGAGAUUGCUUCAAGGUUAGUUUGAUUAUCCAGCUCUUUAAAUCUCUUAUAGUGAACUAACUGAAUAUUUUAAUUAAGCUUUCCCAGUUUGC
rnacentral:lncRNA from 1 species